CCAACGACCACAGUUCCUCCUCAAGAUUUUAAUAAAACUGUCUGAAUUUCCCUUAACCCUAAACGACCAACAUCUCCUUCCUCGUAUCUCUCUCUAACUCCGCCGGCGAAGUCGCCACUGGCGAACGCCACCUACGCUAACGGCCACCAAAAUUACACACCGAUUCUCCUUAUUCCCCUCUUUCCAUUACUACCCUUGGUUUCCCUCGAAUCUUUCCGGAGCUCGUCGAAUCUUCGUUGGAAGUUUUCAAUCCACGAUUCUACUUCGUCCAAAUACCUCCAAAUCAACACCAUAGAUCCUCUUCACCACCCUCAUCCCAAAACACCAAUUGAUUUUCUUCAAAUCCUACUGUAACUCCUCAUAGUGAAUUGGUCAUCAAUCGAGCUUUGUUUCUGCCAGAGUUGGUCGUGUUCUAAUUUGGAAAUCUGACCAGAGUCUCGACGUGAGUCAGUGAGUUUCUUAGUUUAUUUUUGUAUUUUUCCUUCCAUGUUAGCUUUAUGUUAGUAAUGAAUUAGGAUUCAGUAUUAGGUAUCUAGGUUUAAUAAUUGAAGUUGCUCUUAUUUAGAUUUUGGUCAAAGUUAUGCUAACUGUUAGUUUCGUCAUUAGUUAAGCAUUAAUCAUGUUCAUUGUUUAGUUUAGUUUACAUCUUUAUGAUCCGUUUCUUCAAAUUGAUAAAUAGAAGUUUGUGUUGGUAAGUUUAAUUCUCAUUUUAAUUGAUUAAUUGUUUCACUUUGAUUUAGUUGUCAAGAGUAGUUCCCUAAUAGGUUAAAUUGUUCUUUAAUUUUUUAAGGUUGUUUCAAUUUGAUUACAUACGGUCAACUGAUUAGUUGUUUUGAUUGUUGAUGGUAAUUGAUAAUUCAAAGUUUAAUAGUUAGUUUCGGGUUAGGAUUUGAGUUUGAACCUAGUGUUAGCUGAUUAAACUUACUGAUUGGUUGCUUAAAUAGGGUCAGACAAUAAGGUCGGGGUGGGUUAGUAACUUCAGGUUAAUGAAAAGGGUAAUUUAGGGAGACUCACUACGGGACUGAAUUUAGAAGCUACUAGAGGAUCCUAGAAAGGGUGUUAGUUAAAAUUUCAGAUUCAUAGUUUGUUUACUUGUGUAAAAAGUUAAUAAUUAAGGGACUAAUUGGAUAAAUAGAUAGGGACUAAGAAGAAAACAAAACGCUGAAGGCUGCUCAUUGGUGCCUAUAAAGGCAUCAGAAUAGCCUUGAAUACGGGUCUUCUUUUUCAGCCCAAAAUGCCCUCCAGAAUCCUACUUCAAUUUCACAUCUGAAAAUUUCAAUUGGAAUUCAAAGUCCCUUUUAGAUCUCAGCCUUUUUAGAAGAAAAAUCAGAAAAGCAAUCAAAAGAUAUAGAAAGAUGAAAACUCAAAAAAAAACUUUACUGUUCCAUUGAAAUUGGAAGUUGAUUUCAAUUUUUGGUUACUGAUUCACCUUCUGCAAUUGUUACUUCUGUCUGUUGAAGUGUAGAGGUUCAUUUGGAGUUUAAGUUAGUGUUCUAAAUCUGGUCAUUGGUAUUCAUUUCUGGGUCGUUAGCUGCUGUGUGGAGUUCAUUUACUGGUUUUCCUUUAGAUUUGAAUGACUCCUGAACUGCUGGUCAUUGCUGUUGAAUCUGCUGCUGUUGAAUAGUUUAUUUCAGUAAAUUUGACCUCUUUUUCUUCUUCUUUUAAACAUUGAAUUCCAGGUACACAUUUCGAAUCACCUCGAUGUAAGUUGAAUUGGAAGUGUGCACCAGACCUGCAUUUGGUGUUAUCUGUUGUCUCUGAUUCAAUAAAUGUUAAAUGAAAUAGAAGUAGUUCAUAUUAGCUCUGGUUUAUAUUGUGCUAAAUAAUAGAAAUGUGACUGUGUAAUUGGAACUUCCUUAGGCGGAUUUGGACUGUGUCAGUUAUUAUUGGUAACAGACUGUUAAAUCAUCCAGGAAACUUAUGUUCAGUAGCUAGUCGAACCAUUAAUUUUCAUUAGCUAUAAUUAGUUUAGUGUGUUUGUUCUGUUUAAACUUUCAAAGUUAGAAAAUAACUUGACUUAGCAUUCUCCUUUUGAAUAUGUGAAAUUGUGCUUGCAUCAAUAGUUGUUGAUUGAAUUGGUAAUAACAGGCACGCAAAUGUCGAGCUAGGACGUUUUUGUAUGGCAGUAGUUACCAGAUAUUUAAUGAACUGUUAAUUGAUUCAUGUUUUCCUAGUCGAAUUCAAAACCAAUGGGUGUUUAGGUCGUUGAUUAACGUUGGAAUUGAUAAAUCAUAGUUGAUAUUGCUAAUUGUUGGUGGGAAGCAUUACUGAAAUCAAGCACGAUUAGUUUGUCUUUUUUCACGUAAAAGGUUGAACAUAGUUAUUCUGCCCAGCUAAUGUAAAUUGCAUUUUUUUUAGUUUGAAACUCUGUGAUUUCAAUUGUCCUUGUCAAUUUCAAAUGAAGUGGAUAAUAGUUAGCAGCCAAUUAAAUCGUGGGUCUGUUAGCUUCAGGGGAUAGAUCAUUUGAUCUCCCUAGGCAGCCUAUUUUGCUUUGUCCUUUCGGGCUUCCUCGAGGCCCACUUGUUGCAAUUAAUUCACAUACAGAACCAUUUGGUAACUAAGUUGGGCUUGUUUCAGA
rnacentral:lncRNA from 1 species